rnacentral:rRNA from 1 species
UACAGAGGCCUCGAGCGUUAGGCGGAAUCACUGGGCUUAAAGCGUGUGUAGGCGGACUUCUAAGUACCUUGUGAAAUCCCACGGCUCAACCGUGGAACGGCUGGGUAUACUGCCUGUCUUGAGCCAACUAGGGGCGAGCGGAACAGACGGUGGAGCGGUGAAAUGCGUAGAUAUCGGGAGGAGCACCUGUGGCGAAAGCGGCGCACUGGACCACAACUGACGCUGAGGCGCGAAAGCUAGGGGAGCAAACAGG